UCGCUCGAAACUAUCGGAUUGUGAAGCUAUUAUUAUAGGAAUUAAAGGAAAUCUUUAUAUGCUGUUCCAAUUUUCACGGCGAAAUAAAGGGUAAUAUGAAAGAAAGAGACAGUGAAAAAUGCAAGCUAGAAUAUAUAAUAUAAGCGGAUACGUAAGCGUCUCAAGUAAGAAAAAGACACUAGAUUUCUCUCGAUCGACAUCGAUCGGUUUCCAUCUGUACUCGACUCAUUGCUUCAUUCUUACCACUAAAAACCAGCUGCUCGUCUAAAUCAAUACCUAUAUAACGUGCAAUCUGAAACUAUCUAUAAAACCAGGAAAAGAGAGAGAAAGAAAAAGACAACUAGGAAAACAAUAACUUCCACGCGGAGCCAGGUGAAAACCUACCCCAGGUGAUGUCGUUGAACCAAAACUGCGAAGAUCCGCUUGUAUCAUCGAUCAA
rnacentral:lncRNA from 1 species